AUACGUAGGUGACAAGCGUUAUCCGGAUUUACUGGGCGUAAAGGGCGUGUAGGCGGUCUUGCAAGUCAGAAGUGAAAUUCCUGAGCUCAACUCGGGCGCUGCUUCUGAAACUGCAGGACUUGAGUGCUGGAGGGGAUAGCGGAAUUCCUAGUGGAGCGGUAAAAUGCGCAGAUAUUAGGAAGAACACCGGUGGCGAAGGCGGCUAUCUGGACAGUAACAGACGCUGAGGCGCGAAAGCGUGGGGAGCAAACAGGAUUAGAUACCCGGGUAGUCCACGCUGUAAACGAUGAAUACUAGGUGUAGGGGGUAUCGACUCCCUCUGUGCCGCAGUUAACACAAUAAGUAUUCCGCCUGGGGAGUACGGCCGCAAGGUUGAAACUCAAAGGAAUUGACGGGG
rnacentral:rRNA from 1 species